UGUUGCUCCAGGGGAAACUCUAACCCUCAGGUUGGGCGGUGGCGGCGCUCCGGUGUCGUAUCCUUCCUGAAGGCGCCUCCUUGGAGCCCACGGUUGGUCGUAUGCGGCUUCAUCUCUUCGCGGUGGCAUGUUCACGGCUGAGGACCCCGGUUGCUCUUGUGGUGCUUGGGGUGGGGUUGCUGCGCUCAGCGCCUAUGUAUCCUGCCUUGGGCGUGUGCGUGUGUUGUGGUGACGUGCUUUUAUACCGGAUUGUGGAUGAUCGUUGCUUUAUAUAUAAAGCGGGGCGAAAGCCUUUUUCAGUAAAAACAUUUUCCUGCAUUAGCAAAAAAUGAUGGAGAGCGUGCAGUGCAGUUUUAUUGAAGAUUCAUAUGUUUCAACUGCAGUUUUAUUUGUUUUUGAUCUGUAGUAUUCAUGUAUUUGUCUGUACAUCCCCAUACUAUUUUUCCAUAGACUUUAUGUAUGUUGGGUAGUACUAGCCUGCUCCUUAGGCGGUUUUCCUUUUAUACACUGACCUUGAAGGGUUUAUACUGUGUAUGUGUCACUGUAAAUAGCUUGAUGCGUCACUGUAAAUACCUUGAUGCAUGUAUGUAUGUCGGGCAAUACUGUUUUUCUAGUUUGUUCCUUAGGUUGUUAUUCCUUUUCUAGAGUGAGCUUAUAGGCUUCACUGUGCAGGUAUGUUUGUAUGAUUGGUAUUACCGAAUUUAAAGGCCGGUUCCUAGAUCUUUCUUUAUGAUGGAGCAUUUGUGUUGUUCUUGGGGGUAGAAGUGUUCCAGGUGUGAAGAGAAUAACAAGGGAUCGAUCAGAUGUGAAUGGGAUGCAGUGAUUCUGUGAGCAACUACCAGAUUUGCCCCAUGUUCAGGUGCAAAGGGGCCUCAGAUGCAACGGUCAGGUUUAGUGCAUCUAUUACACUGUUACAUUUUUUACUGAAACUAUUUUGGUUUCAGUCGUUUUUUGGUCUCGUGAUAUAAAUUCACAUACAUUCAUUUUUUCUGUUGUUUCUUUUGUCGUACAUACAUAUAUACAUACGCCUGUCACGUUGUUACUAGAUGAAAAAAUUGAUUGAAGUCCAAUUUUUUUUCCA